UUAGAUGUCCAGGAAUACUCUGUAUUAUAACACGGGGCACCUUUGUGGACAUGACAUGAUCUAAGAAUUUGUUUUAUCAAAACGCCAUCUUAUCUGGACUGCUCUAUGUCAUUGCCAAACAUUGUGUGCCCACCCAUAAACUUUUGUGCUGCUUGGUGCAUUGAGGGGGCUGACUCCCCCAUUCUGCCCUGGUCCAUAGGAGCGGCAGCACCAACCCUUUCCAGUGCUCCAAACAACGGGGGUUCUUGACACCCUCAGGGACUUGAGACAUUCCGUCAUGGAGUCGACACAAACGCGCGAGCAUGGUAGGUGCUCUUGCGUUCUCGUCCAGCUUCAAGUCCAACUCACCGUUUUUAUAUUCUGGAUUAUGUUGGCGCACCCGUCUGGCGCUAUCUAUCUGGACUUCCAUUCUAGUGACCACGUGGAGCAGGGCACUUCGAACGCUCCUAAGGAUGGGCUGGGAGACGAAACGCUAUCUUGGGCGGUUAAAAUACAGCAUCAGACACACAGAAAAAGUGUGAACAGGACUCAUGUCGAUCUUCUAGCCGAUGAAAUCGCGGAGGAUCUGGGUUUAAAAAGCUACGGACAGGUCGGCGAGCUGAUGGGACAUUAUCUAUUUGCCGCAGAAAGCUACCACGAAGCGUUGAAUGGUAGCAUGGAAAGAGACUUGGUGGGGAAGAUUCGUAGUAAAGCGGAGAGCGCCCUCGCGAGGCAUCCAAAGAUUGAGUGGUUCAAUCAACAAACUAUACGAAGGAGAUUCAAGAGGUCGCUAGUAUUUACGGAUCCAUCCUAUUCAAAUCAAUGGCAUUUACACAACUCAAAGAAUAUAGGAAUGGAUAUCAAUGUAACAGGAAUCUGGAAGCAUAAUAUAACUGGAGAAGGAGUCACUGUAGCUGUCAUUGAUGAUGGUAUGUUCAUAAAGUUGUUUUGUUUCAUUAUCUUUAUAGUUUUCUGUUGAUUUGUCUUUCCGUUAAUGCCCACAAUCAUUAUAUUGAUUAUUAUUGCAUACGAAUGUCAAGAUUGACUUGACCUGAAUUUUGCCGGGACCGGCAGGUGCAAUACACCAGGUGAACACCCUACUCGUUGACGAAUGGUUUUAACAUGCAUAGGUUGUGACUCUCCUAUACACGGGACCAACAUUUGCGUCCUUUCCGAUGGACGGAGUGUUAUCCAACUGCAUUCACACCUGCACUGAAUACAGUGGUGAGACACCCUAACACACUACGCUAUAGCAUCAGAUUUUUUGGUUAGAUGCGUUUCGGCAUGAGCGGGACUCGAACCCCUCACGUUGAGAUCUACGAUCUCAUCCGAAACAUGCGCUCUAACCGACUGAGCUAUGCUGCCUCCCAAUUUUUACACUUAACAUGCCAAAAUUACGAAUUGGAACCCUACAGUACUGCUGUAUGACUAAAACAGUAUUAUCCCAAGAAGCACAUUUUUCAAAGAUGUUAAUUCAAACCAUGAUUGCGUUCAAUCUAAUUUUUGUUGAUCAUAGAAAUAAACGUCUUUCAAACGCAAGCAUACGUGUAAUAAAAAACUCAACAAGAGAUUUUGACAGGCAAUUUUGCAGAACAAGGGAGUGGAUUUGUCGUCAUACUUGCAUAAUUUAUGAAUUUUCUCACUGCAAUAUUUUAAGCCACUAAUUUUAUAGGUAUUUGUACUAUUUUUGAAAAUAAAAUGCAACAUUGCCAAUCACCUCUUGUAUUGCUUGUUUUUCUCAUGUUUUAAAAUUUCUUCUACACAUGAGCUAAUGCUGAUCUCAGAAUUUCUGUUUUCAAGGCUGAAUUGCGGGAAUUGUUGUCAUUUGGGCUAGUAUAGUGGUCAAAUGUGGUUUAAUACUGAUAUUUUUGUUUACCAGUUGGCCUGGAUUUGAGUCAAUUCAAUGAAUGUCACAGGCCAGGGUCACCCUUUCUUUCAUCAAUGAUAACGUGUCAAAUUUGUCCCAUAUUUUCCUUAAUAUGAAGUGUAAAACAAUACAAAACAAAAACAACAAUAAACACCUAGCUCUGUGUUUAUUAUUAAAUAACCUUGCAGUGUUUUUCUUUUUUUGUUGUGUAUUAAUACACUUGGCAGAGGUACAGGUAAAAUGUUUUCUGUCAUCAGAUUUGUUUCAAGGUCUCUUUUGUUUUCCAGAUGAAUAUCACAGAAAUUUUAGAAUAAGACCAGACAAAUAAAACUUGUUUAUUUUGACUGAUUUGCAUUGAGAAAUAAGACUAGUUAUUAAGAGUGAAACUUUUCAUGACACUUGUAAAGCUGAUAUUGCUCUGCAAGUGUGAUAUUAUUGGGGUAUUAGUUUUCACACAUGAGUCAUUCAUUAGCUGUAAAUGUGCUUAGAAUGCAUUACGAUUCGCAUGAUUGUACGGGCCAAUGUACAAUUUUGGAACACAUGAAAAGUGCUUGUUCUAGUACAGUACAUGUAGUAAAAAAGAGAAAUAGUAUUAAAGGAGGAGGGGGAGGGGUAAAUAAGGGAGUAGGGAUUAAGGUGAAGGGUAAGGGGAAGGCAGGGAUGGGAUGGAGGGGGAUGGGGAUGGGGGAGACAAUGUAAAAUACAUUCACAUACAAAUUAACUUUCCUGACGGGUAUGGUGUGAACCUUCCCAUACAUCCACAUACAAAUUAACUUUGCUGACGGGUAUGGUGUGAACCUUCCCAUACAUCCACAUACAAAUUAACUUUGCUGACGGGUAUGGUGUGAACCUUCCCAUACAUUCACAUACAAAUUAACUUUGCUGACGGGUAUGGUGUGAACCUUCCCAUACAUCCACAUACAAAUUAACUUUGCUGACGGGUAUGGUGUGAACCUUCCCAUACAUUCACAUACAAAUUAACUUUGCUGACGGGUAUGGUGUGAAUCAUUCUACCAAUUUGUGCCAUUUUGCACAUUUGUAGGCAUUUACAUACAUGUAGAAAUUAUUGAACUCCUUUAGAACAGUACAUUACAUGUUCAGGCACAUCUACAUGUAUUUUGCUUUUGGGGUACUCACUUUCAUUGUCCUUUAAUAUCCCCAAAUGGAUUUAAUGUGAAUAAGUCUUGCGCUGACACUACCCCAUUUCUUCUAGCCAGACGGUAUGCCUACAUAAUGUACAUACCUGCUUGUUCAACAUGCAAUGUGACUCACAGGAUUCUGUUUACUGUAUUAUGCAUGUAAACACAUUGAGGUACAAAGAGAAAAGAAUAUGCCCUACAAGACUAAAAUGCAUCUCCACAAAAGGGUGCAGAAAAGCUAAAUAUACAUGUAUACAUGUACUCUAAGAACUUGACAGACAAUGACUCAUGGAUGGGGGGGGGGGGGGGGGAGCAGAAACUUACAAAGAAAAUGCAAAGGACAUCAGCUGCACAAGUAAUUAGCUCAAUAUUAUCAUUGUCCCUAUAAAUAGUAGUGCAUUCACAGGACAUUUUUUUCUCAGUGACUGAAAUUGAAAACAAUACUUUAUUUAAUUUUAAAGGACAAAGAAUUGUAUUUUUUAUGGCAGUAUACAGUUCUACAUUGUAGAAAUACAGU